rnacentral:rRNA from 1 species
CCAGACUCCUACGGGAGGCAGCAGUGGGGAAUAUUGGGCAAUGGGCGCAAGCCUGACCCAGCAACGCCGCGUGAAGGAAGAAGGCUUUCGGGUUGUAAACUUCUUUUAAGAGGGAAGAGUAGAAGACGGUACCUCUUGAAUAAGCCACGGCUAACUACGUGCCAGCAGCCGCGGUAAUACGUAGGUGGCAAGCGUUGUCCGGAAUUACUGGGUGUAAAGGGAGCGUAGGCGGGAAAGCAAGUUGAAUGUUUAAGGUAUGGGCUCAACCUGUACAAGCGUUCAAAACUGUUUUUCUUGAGUGGAGUAGAGGUAAGCGGAAUUCCUAGUGUAGCGGUGAAAUGCGUAAAUAUUAGGAGGAACACCAGUGGCGAAGGCGGCCUGCUGGGCUUUUACUGACGCUGAGGCUCGAAAGUGUGGGGAGCAAACAGGAUUAGAUACCCUCGUACG